rnacentral:rRNA from 1 species
UGACAAUACUGACGCUGAGAUGCGAAAGCGUGGGGAGCAAACAGGAUUAGAUACCUGGUAGUCCACGCUGUAAACGAUGUCGAUUUGGAGUUUGGGGGCAUGACCCUUGGGCUCGGAGCUAACGCGUUAAAUCGACCGCUGGGGAGUACGGCCGCAAGGUUAAAACUCAAAUGAAUUGACGGGGGCCCGCACAAGCGGUGGAGCAUGUGGUUUAAUUCGAUGCAACGCGAAGAACCUUACCUGGUCUUGACAUCCAUAGAAUCUUUCAGAGAUGAGAGAGUGCCUUCGGGAGCUAUGAGACAGGUGCUGCAUGGCUGUCGUCAGCUCGUGUUGUGAAAUGUUGGGUUAAGUCCCGCAACGAGCGCAACCCCUAUCCUUUGUUGCCAGCGCGUAAUGGUGGGAACUCAAAGGAGACUGCCGUUGAUAAAGCGGAGGAAGGUGGGGACGACGUCAAGUCAUCAUGGCCCUUACGACCAGGGCUACACACGUGCUACAAUGGCGUAUACAAAGGGAUGCGAAGGUGCGAACUGGAGCGGACCUCACAAAGUACGUCUAAGUCCGGAUUGGAGUCUGCAACUCGACUCCAUGAAGUCGGAAUCGCUAGUAAUCGUGAAUCAGAAUGUCACGGUGAAUACGUUCCCGGGCCUUGUACACACCGCCCGUCACACCAUGGGAGUGGGUUGCACCAGAAGUAGAUAGCUUAACCUUCGGGAGGGCGUUUACCACGGUGUGGUUCAUGACUGGGGUGAAGUCGUAACAAGGUAACCA